GGCGCGGUGAUGGAACGGUAGACAUGCAAGUCUCAAAAACUUGUGAAGGUAAACUUCAUGAGAGUUCGAAUCUCUCCCGCGCCA
rnacentral:tRNA from 1 species